UACAGAGGGUGCAAGCGUUUAAUCGGAAUUACUGGGCGUAAAGGGUGCGUAGGUGGUUAGGUAAGUUAAGUGUGAAAGCCCCGGGCUCAACCUGGGAAUGCCGCUUAAUACUGCCUAACUAGAGUAUUGUAGAGGAAAGUGGAAUUUCCGGUGUAGCGGUGAAAUGCGUAGAUAUCGGAAGAACACCAGUGGCGAAGGCGACUCGCUGGACAGGUAUUGACGCUGAGGUUGAAAGCGUGGGGAGCAAACAGG
rnacentral:rRNA from 1 species